rnacentral:lncRNA from 1 species
CUCACGUUUCUCUUUCUUCUCUCUCUUUCAUAGAAAAUUGCUUUGAAUAGAAAUAGCUAGAGUUUGUUCCUUUGGUGUUCUUGUUGUGUGUUUUUUGUUUAAUUUCUUGCUGUUGUGCAUAUAUUUUCGUGUUCUUACUAUUUUCUGUUGUCAGUUUGAAGCUCCAAUUCCUCAAAGUGCAAAAUAGCUCCAAUUCCUCAAAGUGCAAAAUGGAGGGUGGUCUCCCAGUCACUUCUUCACUGACAAAGAACGGAUUCUCUUAAAGCUGGCAGAUCAGAGAUCGUGAGUUUUAUUUUUGGGCUCUUGGAAGGCAAGGCACAUACUGAAAGAUAGGAGUGUUUUAAAAGGUAAGGCGUAACAUGGAUUGACUCACUAUGCACUUUGACAGUCUAGUUAGAGAGGUGCUCGGACUCUGAUCAGUUGGGAUACAUCCCGUGAUUUAACUGAUUUGUGUGAAGAGCGAUCAAAUCACAAACUCAAGGAACAGUCGUCGAAGGUGGACACCUUGAUAAAAAAAAUAAAAAAAAAAUGGAGGGCGGCGGUGCUACUAGCGAUGCGCAAGGGACUGCUUGUCGAUGUGUACGGUGCGGGUCGUGCUUUUACAGUGUACGAUUCUCUUUUCUUAUCUAACUUUGUUCACUUUUAUACCGCAGCUGUACUGGUAGAGGCUAAACGGAUUAUUUCCCUCUACAACCAUGUUCUUUAUGCAACAAUCAUGGAUGUGGAGCAGUGCAAAGCUUGCUAUUACUAAAGUUCAUAGGGACAUAAUUAACCGUGUAUGUUGGCUUCUUGAAUUUUUGCUCCUUUUUUCAUGUGUUGAGAUUCUAGAAUUUCAGAGAACAAUUCAAGUUUGUGUGAUGGUUUUGCCAUAUAUGAUGCGUGUAUCUAUGAUCCCUAUUCUAGUAUUCUUAGAGGUUGUUUGGGAGUGAUUUUGAGAAUUGAUUUUUUG